AUUGCUCCAUUAAUAGCCGACUUCAUUCUGCCUAUUUUAUUGUUCUAAGUUCCAAUCGAUCCUCUGCCUAUACUUUUCCUGCGGACGCGUAAACUGAAGCGUGGCUUUUAGAAACUUGUAUAUGAUUGAAUUUGGGUCUCUGUCCUCCAUCAGACAUACGUUAGUACGGUGGACUGUUUGUAUCAGUUUUGCAAAUUGAGAACAUGUUUGAAUAUAGCCUUGGUAUGUGCAUGUGAAACAAUUUCGUACUCCCGAGGCAUUCCUUUAUCAUUAUCUUUCAAAGGUUGUGUUCGUGUCGAUAUUGUUUGUUAUUGAUGCGAAUAGGGUUGUUAUCCGAAACUACCUUUGUCCGGCUAACUCAAAAGACUGCUGGACAUAUUUCUAGCAACGUUUUCUUUCCACUCAUCGCGUUAUCCAGAGCUCUACCCUCUAUAAUUUUCUUCAAGAAACACAUUGUGCCCAUCGGAAGUCUUGAAAUACUGUCAAUUGAAAAUCUGCUCGCUAACGCCAAACAUUUACCCCAAUUUUAAUUGUCAAAUAUGCGUAGCCUUCCUGACGUGUGCCUAGUUUGGAAAGUUAAUACAAUAAUCAGACUGUCCUUCAGUGGUCGAAGAUGCGGCUCUGAAAAAGGUAGUGUUGGUUCGCCGUAACGAGGAACAUUGACUAGGUGAUAUGUUAGCCAUUGAUUGCCAGUCAGGGUUACUUUCUCUAAUUACACAUCGUGUUGCUUUAAAGCAACCAAAUAUGAAUUUUAGGAGAAAACUUAGCGUCAGUAAUAUCGGCAGCCAAGAAGAGUUCUAUUUUUCACCCGUAAAUGCGAAUACUAAAAGUUACAUAAACCGACUUCCAACGUUGAAAGUUUCGUUGAUUGAUGCUUCGGAGCGGCUCGCUAAUGAGAGAGGCACAUACACUCCGAUAUGCAUUACUGUUGAGUCACUUCGUGUAAAACAUUUCUCAACAGGGCGUAGGCGUUAUGCACAACGCGGCAGCAGGCUGGUGUACCUUGAAAGCGAUCUGCGAUGCCGAAAAGCGUGCCGAGUGCCGAUAGCUUACCGCGUUGUGUUCUCGCGGCUUGUUUAGUGUUGAAGAGGCACGCGCGGGCCCAUAUCGUGUGUGUGUGUGUGUGUGUACGCGUGAGUGUGUGUGUGUGUGUGUCUGUGUGUGUGUGUGUGUGUGUAUGUCAAAGAAGCUUUGCUUCAUUUAGAUUACCACGGUACGUUUGAUCUGCGCGCUUUAAUUUUUCUUCUAUUGUCUACCUUAAUGUUGCACUUGUGCAUUUUCUUCGAUGCUCGUGUUCCGGCCCAUCCCCGUUGAGGGUAAAUGCAAUAAUAACAACAAUGGGUAUAAGCCAUAAAAGAGGAUCAUCAUCAUCAUAAUAAUUUGAUGUCUACAAGAAGGGGUCGGCAGCUAAUAGCAUUCGGUAGACUCAAGAGUACCAGCUACUGAAACCUCGAAGCAAGCUCUUUCGGAAACCACUUGAACGUUCCUCCCGCUGCACAUUCAGCAUCGAGUAUGUCAUGUUUCAGGUGAUGAACGUGCAUGAUAAAGAAUAUGUUAAUUUACCUAUCUCUGCAGAACUGAAAAAAAAUAGAGCCUUGCCUUGUAGUAUGCCAGUCAAUCGCAUAAUUCAACCUUAUUUCCUUAUUUCCGGUAUGGCGCUGCAUAUAAGGAGGUGCUUCAGCUCCAUUUCGGGAUCAGGCGCUACGCUUUGAAGACCUAAUUUUUCUUUUCUUUCUCAUGGUUUUAGAUUGUGAACAUGGCUGCGAAGCUCGUCAUGGCAAUUAUCUGCACAUUAGUUGGAGCCUACGCGGGCGUGCGAACGCCGAAGCAGCUGCUCAACUUGGCCGGAUUCACGGAAACCGGGGUCAGGGCAGCGUCGUUAGCGGGCAACGUACAGUCCCGUUACCGCGUCAUGUGUAAAAAGAAGAGCCUCUUCGCUCUACUUCAAGGCUGGGCCAUGAGCGGAGUCCCGCUCUCCGUGCAGUUCCUGUCCAGCACUGUUGGAGUGCACAUCGGCUACGCAUUGUUCGAAUUCAUUGCACUAAUCUUAGGCAAAGUCUUCUGAUCGCGGACGACUGGGAUCAUCUGCCUACCGACGCUGCGCACCACUCCAAUCCUAUCCACUUCAAGUCAUUCAUCCAAGACCAGCCACAAAUGUAAUACUCAUCCCUCAUGUAAAACCCCGCAAUAGGGGCAUUUGAGGACGAAAUAAAUAAAAUAAAUAA